AAUAAAGUGGUGGGGUAGAGGAAUGAGAAUAAAUAUGGCAUCCAGCACUGCAGUGAUCUUUAAGAGAUGUGAGUGAAAGAUGUCCGAAUCAAUCAACAAUGGACAACAACUAAGAACAUUUUAUUUUUUGGUUUUAUCAUAUAUGAAAAUUUGAACAAGGAAAAGAUAUACAGAAUUGAUCCAGAGAGCAGCACCAUUCAUAAGCCCUAGCAAAAAUCCCAGAGAGCAGCACCAUCAACGUUUUUUACGUAUCCAUUACUCCAUCCGAGAUUCCAAAACGCUCAAUAAAAACCCUCGUCAUCCGUCGAAGCCGGCAUCGGCUGCUGGGACCUCCGCACCGGCGCCGAGCAGCUCCGCUACAAGCUCUGCGCCCUCCGCCUCAGGGCCUCAUCUGCGUCGGCGAACGGUUCCUGGCCUCCUCUCAGCUCUGCGAGCAUUCUGCCUCCUCUGGCUCUGUCCAGUACUGGUCCUGGUGCAAGCCGCAAGUUGAUGUCAAGAGUUUCCGAGAAGAACCGAUCAAUCCGCUCGCUGCGAACAGCGAAGGCACGUCGGUGAAUAGCUACUUGUGGAAGGUUAACACUGGUAGACUGUUUAAGAAUUGGCAUGCUCACGACAGAGGUGUUAGUUGAUUGGUAUUUUUGGAUGAUGGCUCCCUGCUGAUUUCGGGGUUGGAGGAUGGAGAUAUUAGAGUUUGGUCUCUUAUACGAUUAUUUGACGAUUAUCAAAGUGAAUUACAAAGCCAUCUGUACAUGCUAAAUUUAUGGAGCACACUCUUUGUGUAACCGAUGUUGGCGCAAGAUAUGGUGGAUGCAAAGCCAUUAUUGUAUCAGCAUCUCAGGAUCGCACGUGUGAGGCCCAGUGAAUAAUAUUCUAGUCGUUCGACAACACUUUUCUGAGAAAUAUUGUUCUGACUUCAACUGAAGACCUCAUACAAGUCUGGAUCACUUUGCAUUAUACUAGACACACACGCUUUUGAUGUGCCUAUGUCCAGACGAUCUUCAUUCUCCUCGAAAGCAAAGGAAAGGACCAUUCUGCUGAAAUCUGUAAUGCAGCAGCCAACCAUCGGUUCUAGUAAUGCAUGCAGGCUUCUCUCCCUUUCCAUCUCACUUCCUCUAAAGAGAAAAUGCGUUAGCCCUGCGUCCAUUAGCAGCACUCGCAACAGUCAAGCGGGUAGGAUUAACGAAAAAUUCAAAAGAUCAACGAAACAUGUAUGCAUAAACUAAACACCCCAAUUAAUUUUGAGAUUACCUUUUCGAUGAUUUUUGCACCCAGCCAAAGUCAGCUCCAAUGUAAUGGUUUCGGUUUAUUUUAGGCAGCAUUGUUUGUACUCGGGACCUGUAACUAGUAGCAGCUAAGUCUCAAAUUCAGAGAUUUUAAAAAUAAAAUAAAACUAGAGCAUUGGGAGAGGAGGAAUCGUACUCGGGACCUGGAAUAUGGUCUUAACCGAGUUACAAGUCCCUUGCAACAUUAUAUAUGCAGUUAUGCUUGUCUAGUUGGAAUCUUGUCUAGUUGGAUUGAUGUAAAAUGAAUAGAGUGAGUUGGUAAAUAAAUAGAAAAGAGCUUAAUUACCAGAAGUGGAAGCCCUCUCAUGCAACUAAACAGCAUCCUCUGUUUCCACUAUGCCUGAAGUGGAAGGCCUCUCAGGUAACUCAACAGCAUCCUCUGCCUCCACUAUGCGUUUACCAUCCAUUCUGAUGUUGGGGAUGUGAGAAAUCUUGGGCCACUCCUUUCCUCUGCCUUUUUGGCAACCUUGUGCAAGAUAACCACUGUAUUUGAUGUUAAGUGUCUGAAGUGAUGUUUUCCGCAAGAAGUCUGGCAGUGUUUUUAGCUGAGGGCAGUACCCAAUCUGUAAAGAAGAAAGGCAUGGCAUUAUGGUAAUAUGAGAAUCCUCUUCCUUCCACUCUUCCACUCCUUUCCACUCUUCCCACUCCAGCAUCAACAGAAAUGUUAGUGUUUUCAAUUUUGGGAAUAGAGUAAUGCAUGAUGAUGCUGAUGACGUUUCCUUUUCUAUUCCCAGAAACUCAACUCCAACCUUUUUUACUCCUUUCAUACUACUAAGGAUCAGUGUUUCGAGGGACGGCAAUAUUCCCAAAGGAGGUAAAACUUCACAUUCAUUCCACCACACAAGAUCAAGAACUCUCAAAUUGUUUA
rnacentral:sRNA from 1 species